rnacentral:rRNA from 1 species
CAUCAGCCACGGGAAUACGAAGGGUGCAAGCGUUACUCGGAAUUACUGGGCGUAAAGCGUGCGUAGGUGGUGGUUUAAGUCCGUUGUGAAAGCCCUGGGCUCAACCUGGGAAUUGCAGUGGAUACUGGGUCACUAGAGUGUGGUAGAGGAUAGUGGAAUUUCCGGUGUAGCAGUGAAAUGCGUAGAGAUCGGAAGGAACAUCUGUGGCGAAGGCGACUAUCUGGGCCAACACUGACACUGAGGCACGAAAGCGUGGGGAGCAAACAGGAUUAGAUACCCCCGUAGUCCCUGUCUCUUAUAC